GUCGCUACUACCGAUUGAAUGGCUCGGUGAGGCCUUCGGACUGGCCCAGGGAGGUCGGCAACGACCACCCAGGGCCGGAAAGUUGGUCAAACCCGGUCAUUUAGAGGAAGUAA
rnacentral:rRNA from 1 species